ACCCGCUGAACUUAAGCAUAUCAAUAAGCGGAGGAAAAGAAACCAACAGGGAUUGCCCUAGUAACGGCGAGUGAAGCGGCAACAGCUCAAAUUUGAAAUCUGGCGUCUUUGGCGUCCGAGUUGUAAUUUGCAGAGGGCGCUUUGGCAUUGGCAGCGGUCCAAGUUCCUUGGAACAGGACGUCACAGAGGGUGAGAAUCCCGCGCGUGGUCGCUAGCCUUUACCGUGUAAAGCCCCUUCGACGAGUCGAGUUGUUUGGGAAUGCAGCUCUAAAUGGGAGGUAAAUUUCUUCUAAAGCUAAAUACUGGCCAGAGACCGAUAGCGCACAAGUAGAGUGAUCGAAAGAUGAAAAGCACCUUGGAAAGAGAGUUAAAAAGCACGUGAAAUUGUUGAAAGGGAAGCGCUUGCAGCCAGACUUGCCUGUAGUUGCUCAUCCGGGUUUUUACCCGGUGCACUCUUCUAUAGGCAGGCCAGCAUCAGUUUGGGCGGUUGGAUAAAGGUCUCUGUCAUGUACCUCUCUUCGGGGAGAACUUAUAGGGGAGACGACAUGCAACCAGCCCGGACUGAGGUCCGCGCAUCUGCUAGGAUGCUGGCGUAAUGGCUGU
rnacentral:rRNA from 1 species